rnacentral:lncRNA from 1 species
GUUUUGGAAGGCCCUUGUCUCCAGGUUGCUGGAAGUGACUUCUUGCUCAGCAGAAUCAGCCGCUCGGUGAAGACAGAACUCAUGCUUAGCACUGACUCGGCUCUGCGUCCGCCACCGGGGAGUCUCUCUGCCUGGUCCUAGAGAGAGCCGGGGAUCGGCGUUGUGACCGAGCUUCCUGGACUUGCGGAGACACGACAGUAGAGGAAUACACACUUUCUUUUGAAUUUUUACAACAGAUAUCUGGUCUAGUUUUGAAGCCUUGGGCUACUGGGUGCGUGAGUGACAAGUCUUUGACAAGUGGCCUUAUUCCAACUCCAGAGAUUCCUCAAGCAGAUUCUAAUUUUAUAUACAAUCCUCAGGAGACAGGAAACAUGCCAACCCAAUCCCUCUUGGUGUAUAUGGAUGGACCGGAAGUGAUCGGCAAUUCCCUUGGCACCCAAAUGGAGCUUGAUGACGCCAUGACGAUCAAAGGGGCCGCCACGGUCCCCUUCCGAGCCGCGCAGGAGAAGAGCAUCAUCCAGAUGGAGGGGUACAUGCCCCUGGACUGCAUGUUCUGCAGCCAGACCUUCACGCGCUCCGAGGACCUCAGCAAACAUGUCCUGCUGCAGCACCGGCCCAUCCUCUGUGAGCCUGCCGUCCUGCGCGUCGAAGCGGAGUAUCUCAGUCCUCUGGAUAAAGUUCAGGUGCGCAGCGAGCCUCCCAAGGACAAGAGCUGCAAGGAGAGUGAAGAGCUGAGCUGCGAAGUGUGCGGGCAGACGUUCCGCGUGGCUUUCGACGUCGAGGCCCACAUGAAGAAGCACAAAGACUCGUUCACGUACGGGUGUCACAUGUGCGGCCGGCGGUUCAAGGAGCCCUGGUUUCUGAAGAACCAUAUGCGGACGCACACGGGCAAGUCGGGGGCGAAGAGCAGGCUGCAGCCCGGCCUGGAGAGCCCGGCGACCAUCAACGAGGUGGUGCAGGGGCCGGCGGCCGAGGGCGUCUCCUCGCCGUACAAGACCUGCAUGGUCUGCGGCUUUCUGUUUCCAGAUAAAGAGAGCCUCAUCGACCACCGGAAGAUGCACACCAAAGAAGCUGCUUCCGGGCCCCGCGGCCCGCAGACCGAAGCCCCGCAGGAAGGCAUGCCGUCGCCGGGGGCGGAGCUGCUGCAGUUCCUGAACCUGAGACCCGCGUCCCCUGCCGAGGUCGCCAAGAAGCCGGCCAAGUGGAUACCUCAGCUGGACCCGUUCACCACCUACCAGGCCUGGCAGCUGGCCACCAAGGGCAAGGUGGCCGUGUGCCGAGAGGUGAAGGAGCAGCAGCAGCCGGGCCAGGAGGGCAGCACCGACAACGACGAGUCGUGCUCCGACAAGGAGGAGCCGGGGGAGGUCUGGAGCGGCAGCAAGAGCCAGCCGGAAGGCCCUGGAAAGCCCAGGACGAGUAAAAGCGGUUGCCCCGGCCUCUCCCAAGACAAGGAGAAGUCCAGACACCCCCAUGGCGAAGUGCCUUCUGCGGACGCGGACCCCAAGUUGGCCAGUAGUAAGGAGAAGCCGACGCACUGUGCCGAGUGUGGCAAAGCCUUCCGGACCUACCACCAGCUGGUGUUGCACUCGCGCGUGCACAAGAAGGAGCGCAGGGCCGACGCCAGCUCGCCCCCCGCCGCCGCGGACGCCAGGCAGCCCAGGACGUGCUCCCCGGAGCUGCCGCCCACCCUGGAGGACAGCGGAGCCCUGGACCGGGAGGCUGGGUCCGAAGAUGGCUCCGAGGACGGGCUCCCAGACGGGCUGCACUUGGAUAAAAAUGAUGAUGGAGGGAAAAUGAAGCAUCUUACAUCCUCAAGAGAAUGUAGUUAUUGUGGAAAGUUUUUCCGUUCAAAUUAUUACCUCAACAUUCAUCUCAGAACGCAUACAGGUGAAAAACCAUACAAAUGUGAAUUCUGUGACUACGCUGCAGCGCAGAAGACCUCCUUGCGGUAUCACCUGGAGAGACAUCACAAGGACAAGCAGACGGACGCUGCCGCAGACGGCAAGAGCGACGGGAGACCCCAGGAGGCGGAGGAUGCGCUCCUAACCGCCGACAGCGCGCAAACCAAAAAUUUGAAAAGAUGUUUCGACGGUGCCAAAGAUGUUAAAGGCAGCCCACCCGCAAAGCAACUGAAGGGGACGGCCCUCGCCUCUCAGAGCGUCCUGGGCGGCGCCCUGCUGGCGGCAGUGCACAGGGAACCUCAGGAUUUCAGCGGGGAUGCAGUGGACGACGGUGCCGAGAAGCCGAGCAAGGCCGCCGGCCCCGCUUACUUGGACGCCUUGAAGAAGAGGCCGCCCGCGGACCCUCAGGCCAGCCCCCUGGUGUGCAGGACCGAGGCGGCCACGGCGGCCCGCCACGCGCAGCUCGGGCCCCGGGAGAAGCGGGCGGCCGACGCAGGCUGCCAGGAGAAGCCCCUAAACCUGUCGCUCGGCGCCCCGCACGGGGGCGCGCGGGCGCCUCUGGGCAGGAGCGUGACCGCCAGCAGCACCUGCCCGUUCUGCACCUUCAAGACCUUCUACCCGGAGGUGCUGACGAUGCACCAGAGGCUGGAGCACAAGUACCACCCCGACGCGCACAAGAGCUGCCGGGGCAGGGCUGCGCUGCGCAGCCGGCGGACGGGCUGCCCGCCGGCCCUGCUGGGCAAGGACGUGCCCCCGCUGCCCGGUGCCUUCAGGCCCAAGCCGCGGCCCGCCGCCCCGGCGCAACCCAAGCCCGCGCCGGCCGAGCGGCCCGCGCCCGGCGCCCAGGGGCCCAGCAGAGCCCCGCCGCCCCCGCCGCCCGCGGGCGCCGACAGCACUUUAGCCCCCAGCAACCUCAAGGCGCUGCGCCCGCUGCCACCGCCCGGCCUCGGGGUUCCGGGGCCCGGUCCUGCCCGCACGCCGCCCGAAGCACCGCCCUGCAAGGCAGGCCUGGAGAAGGCUCGGCGGCCGGAGCCGCAGCCCGCCGCCGACACCACCAGGAGCGACGGCCCCUGGGCGCCCGCGCGGGACUACGCGAGCGGCCGCGGUGGCGCUGAGCCGGGGGAGCCGCUGCCCAAGCGGCCGCGGGUCGCGCCGGAGCCGCCCUGCGCGCCGUGCCGCCGGCCGCCCGAGCUGCCGCAGUACCGCGUGGUGCGCGGGCUGGCGUCCCUGCUGCCGCCCGAGUGCGCCUGCGCGCCGCCCGCGCCCCCCGCGCGCCCGCGCCCCGCGCCCGGGCCCGCCUUCGCCGCGCUGCUACCCUGCGCGCCCGCUGCUGCCGCGCGCUGGAAGGUGGGCGUCCUCGGGGGACCCUGGGGGGACAGGGGGAGGGCCCUGGCGCGGCGGCCCCUUUUCCAGCGCCUCCCGGGCUGGGCCGAGGGCAGCGGGGCCCGGGGGCUGUACCCCCUCGCAGUGCCGAGUCAGGUGUCCUUGACGCCUCGCCCGCGUGCAUUGCAGGGCGCGCCGCCUGCCCGCCCCUGUGGUCAGCGCGGGUCGGGCGGCCGCGCAGCGGGCUCGGGGCCCCUCGGAAGCGCUCUGCGGGCGCGCCGGGCCCUUCCCAGGCUGCUGGGUCCCUGUGGUGUCCAGACCUAG